GGAUAACACUUAGAAAUAGGUGCUAAUACCGCAUAACAACAGAAAGCGCAUGCUUUUUGUUUGAAAACCAAGGUGGUAUGGGAUGGACCCGCGUCUGAUUAGCUGGUUGGCGGGGUAAAGGCCCACCAAGGCGACGAUCAGUAGCCGGCCUGAGAGGGUGGACGGCCACAUUGGGACUGAGACACGGCCCAAACUCCUACGGGAGGCAGCAGUGGGGAAUAUUGCACAAUGGGGGAAACCCUGAUGCAGCGACGCCGCGUGAGUGAAGAAGUAAUUCGUUAUGUAAAGCUCUAUCAGCAGGGAAGAAAAUGACGGUACCUGAGUAAGAAGCCCCGGCUAACUACGUGCCAGCAGCCGCGGUAAUACGUAGGGGGCAAGCGUUAUCCGGAUUUACUGGGUGUAAAGGGAGCGUAGACGGCAGUGCAAGUCUGGAGUGAAAGGCGGGGGCUCAACCCCCGGACUGCUCUGGAAACUGUACGGCUGGAGUGCAGGAGAGGUAAGUGGAAUUCCUAGUGUAGCGGUGAAAUGCGUAGAUAUUAGGAGGAACACCAGUGGCGAAGGCGGCUUACUGGACUGUAACUGACGUUGAGGCUCGAAAGCGUGGGGAGCAAACAGGAUUAGAUACCCUGGUAGUCCACGCCGUAAACG
rnacentral:rRNA from 1 species